rnacentral:rRNA from 1 species
AUUGAACGCUGGCGGCAUGCUUUACACAUGCAAGUCGAACGGCAGCGGGGGCUUCGGCCUGCCGGCGAGUGGCGAACGGGUGAGUAAUGCAUCGGAACGUGCCCAUGUCGUGGGGGAUAACGUAUCGAAAGGUACGCUAAUACCGCAUACGCCCUGAGGGGGAAAGCGGGGGAUUCUUCGGAACCUCGCGCGAUUGGAGCGGCCGAUGUCGGAUUAGCUAGUAGGUGAGGUAAAGGCUCACCUAGGCGACGAUCCGUAGCGGGUCUGAGAGGAUGAUCCGCCACACUGGGACUGAGACACGGCCCAGACUCCUACGGGAGGCAGCAGUGGGGAAUUUUGGACAAUGGGCGCAAGCCUGAUCCAGCCAUGCCGCGUGAGUGAAGAAGGCCUUCGGGUUGUAAAGCUCUUUCGGCCGGGAAGAAAUCGCAUUCUCUAAUAUAGGAUGUGGAUGACGGUACCGGACUAAGAAGCACCGGCUAACUACGUGCCAGCAGCCGCGGUAAUACGUAGGGUGCGAGCGUUAAUCGGAAUUACUGGGCGUAAAGCGUGCGCAGGCGGUUUUGUAAGACAGAUGUGAAAUCCCCGGGCUUAACCUGGGAACUGCGUUUGUGACUGCAAGGCUAGAGUACGGCAGAGGGGGGUGGAAUUCCUGGUGUAGCAGUGAAAUGCGUAGAUAUCAGGAGGAACACCGAUGGCGAAGGCAGCCCCCUGGGCCUGUACUG